rnacentral:rRNA from 1 species
UACGUAGGUGGCAAGCGUUGUCCGGAUUUACUGGGCGUAAAGAGCGCGCAGGCGGUCGUUCAAGUCGCGUGUGAAAGCCCCCGGCUCAACUGGGGAGGGUCACGCGAUACUGAUCGACUCGAAGGCAGGAGAGGGUAGUGGAAUUCCCGGUGUAGUGGUGAAAUGCGUAGAUAUCAGGAAGAACACCCGUGGCGAAAGCGGCUCUCUGGAACGGUACUGACGCUGAGACGCGAAAGCGUGGGGAGCGAACAGG